rnacentral:tRNA from 1 species
UCCCUGAUGGUCCAGUGGCUAAGACUCCACACUCCCAAUGCAGGGGACCUGGGUUCAAUCCCUGGUCAGGGAA